rnacentral:rRNA from 1 species
UACGUAGGGGCCUAGCGUUGUCCGGAUUUAUUGGGCGUAAAGAGCUCGUAGGCGGUUCGGUAAGUCGGGUGUGAAAUCUCGGAGCUUAACUCCGAAACUGCAUUCGAUACUGCCGUGCUUGAGGACUGGAGAGGAGACUGGAAUUUACGGUGUAGCGGUGAAAUGCGUAGAUAUCGUAAGGAAGACCAGUGGCGAAGGCGGGUCUCUGGACAGUUCCUGACGCUGAGGCGCGAAGGUCAGGGGAGCAAACGGG